CCUAACGGCUGAACUGGCAACUUGGAGAAGUGGCAAGUCUUCCAGUAUGGGGAGCAAAACAGCUAUGGGUCAAGUCCGAUAUCUUUAGGAGAAGUCUUAUUGUGAGGGCGAGUUAUAUAACACCAUAGGACUGGCCGUCCCAUAUGAAAAGAUUAUAUUAGAAUUGAAUGAAGCUUUGUUUAUAUAUUGAUAAUGACAGUAUAUAUAUCGUGUCUUGACUAAUUGCGUGCCAGCAGUCGCGGUAAUACGUAAGAGACUAGUGUUAUUCAUCUUAAUUAGGUUUAAAGGGUACCCAGACGGUCAAUAUAGCUUAUAAAAUGUUAGUACUUGACUAGAGUUUUAUGUAAGAGGGCAGUACUUGAGGAGGAGAGAUGAAAUUUCGUGAUACCAAAGGGACUCUGUAAAGGCGAAGGCAGCCCUCUAUGUAAAAACUGACGUUGAAGGACGAAGGCACAGAGAACAAACAGGAUUAGAUACCCAAGUAGUCUUUGCAGUAAAUGAUGAAUGCCAUAGGUUAGAUUGAUCAAUUAUAGUCUAGGGUUAGUCUAGCAAACUAAUGCCCUAUGAUAUAAUUCAAAAUAUCUGGUCUAUAAAUGAAAGUGUAAGCAUUUCACCUCAAGAGUAAUGUGGCAACGCAGGAACUGAAAUCACUAGACCGUUUCUGACACC
rnacentral:rRNA from 1 species